rnacentral:rRNA from 1 species
CAAAAACCUCGCCUCCUGCAAAAAUCAAAGUAUAAGAGGUACUACCUGCCCGGUGACAUCAAGUUUAACGGCCGCGGUAUUUUGACCGUGCUAAGGUAGCGCAAUCACUUGUCUUUUAAAUGAAGACCUGUAUGAAUGGUAUAACGAGGGCUUAACUGUCUCCCCUCUCAGGUCAGUGAAAUUGAUCUCUCCGUGCAGAAGCGGACAUAAGUAUACAAGACGAGAAGACCCUUUGGAGCUUAAGGCACAUGGCCAACUGUGUUCCAACACUCAAUAAGGCUAAACAAAACAGCAACUGGCCAGCGCCUUCGGUUGGGGCGACCACGGAGGAAAAAGAAGCCUCCAUAAGGACUGGGAUAAACCUAAAACCAAGAGGGACACCUCUAAGUCACAGAAUGUCUGACCAAAAGAUCCGGCCUAUGACCGACCAAUGAACCAAGUUACCCUAGGGAUAACAGCGCAAUCCCCUCCGAGAGUCCAUAUCGACAAGGGGGUUUACGACCUCGAUGUUGGAUCAGGACAUCCUAAUGGUGCAGCCGCUAUUAAGGGUUCGUUUGUUCAACGAUUAAAGUCCUACGUGAUCUGAG